AUUGAACGCUGGCGGCAGGCCUAAUACAUGCAAGUCGAGCGGAGAUUCGGCAGGGUGAGUAAUGCCUAGGAAUCUGCAUGGUGGUGGGGGACAACGCCGGGAAACGGGCGCCAAUGACGCAUCCUAUCAGAUGCGACUCGGUCGGAUUAGCUGGUUGGUGGGGUAAAGGCAUACAAAGGUGACGAUCCACAACUGGUCUGAGAGGAGGAUCCGUCAAACUGGGACUGAGACACGGUCCAGACUCCUACGGGAGGCAGCAGUGGGGAAUAUUGGACAAUGGGCGAAAGCCUGAUCCAGCCAUGCCGCGUGUGUGAAGAAGGUCUUCGGAUUGUAAAGCACUUUAAGUUGGGAGGCGUUACCAACAGAGUAAGCACCGGCUAACUUCGUGCCAGCAGCCGCGGUAAUUC
rnacentral:rRNA from 1 species